AUUUAUAUAGUUUAAUUAAAACCUUACAUUUUCAAUGUAAAAAUAAAAUCCUCUCUUUUUAUAAAUA
rnacentral:tRNA from 1 species